rnacentral:SRP_RNA from 1 species
AUAUAAAAGCGGUACAACAAUUAUGUUACUAACUUGGUCAGGUCUGGAAGGAAGCAGCCAUACGAACCUCUUAUUGUGUGUACCACUUUUUAUUUUAU